CCUACGGGAGACAGCAGUGAGGAAUAUUGGUCAAUGGUCGGGAGACUGAACCAGCCAAGCCGCGUGAGGGAUGAAGGUACAGAGUAUCGUAAACCUCUUUUGUCAGGGAACAAAGGCGGGGACGCGUCCCCGGAUGAGUGUACCUGAAGAAAAAGCAUCGGCUAACUCCGUGCCAGCAGCCGCGGUAAUACGGAGGAUGCGAGCGUUAUCCGGAUUUAUGGGGUUGAAAGGGUGCGCAGGCGGUCUGUUAAGUCAGCGGUCAAAGCCCGGGGCUCAACCCCGGCCCGCCGUUGAAACUGGCAGUCUCGAGUUGGAGAGAAGUAGGCGGAAUGCGCGGUGUAGCGGUGAAAUGCAUAGAUAUCGCGCAGAACUCCGAUUGCGAAGGCAGCAUGCCGGCUCCACACUGACGCUGAGGCACGAAAGCGUGGGUAUCGAACAGGAUUAGAUACCCUUGUAGUC
rnacentral:rRNA from 1 species